rnacentral:rRNA from 1 species
GAUGAACGCUGGCGGCGUGCCUAAUACAUGCAAGUCGAGCGAACAGACGAGGAGCUUGCUCCUCUGACGUUAGCGGCGGACGGGUGAGUAACACGUGGAUAACCUACCUAUAAGACUGGGAUAACUUCGGGAAACCGGAGCUAAUACCGGAUAAUAUAUUGAACCGCAUGGUUCAAUAGUGAAAGACGGUUUUGCUGUCACUUAUAGAUGGAUCCGCGCCGCAUUAGCUAGUUGGUAAGGUAACGGCUUACCAAGGCAACGAUGCGUAGCCGACCUGAGAGGGUGAUCGGCCACACUGGAACUGAGACACGGUCCAGACUCCUACGGGAGGCAGCAGUAGGGAAUCUUCCGCAAUGGGCGAAAGCCUGACGGAGCAACGCCGCGUGAGUGAUGAAGGUCUUCGGAUCGUAAAACUCUGUUAUUAGGGAAGAACAAAUGUGUAAGUAAGUAUGCACGUCUUGACGGUACCUAAUCAGAAAGCCACGGCUAACUACGUG